rnacentral:lncRNA from 1 species
UUUGAUCCCUCUUCUCAAAAUUCUCUCUCUAUCAACUCGUUCUUGCUCUGAUUUCUCUCUAAAUAUGUUUUUCUUGGUUGUGUCCUAGAAAUGAGAGUUCAAGGAGUCCUUUUAUAGGAUUUCCCAAGCUUUCUCACCAAGCCGGGCACUUAAUGCCAGUUUCCUUAUUUGGCUUGGUCAAAGAUCACCAUCAAUGGCUUGACUUGAUAUCUUUGAUUCUUUCCUUAGCUGACUCCCGCAGAUCCGACCUUCCUUUUGUAUUAUCCCGCAAUGAUGGCUAGUCAAACUUUCCUUACUUGGAACCCGCAUUGCCCAACAGCCGAACAUUCCUUAAUUGGUCUUGAUCUCGCUUCAUGUAUGUUCUGAUCGUUCCAUGAUCAGUUUAUCAUCGCUCCGCCAGUUCCAAAUUUAUUCCAUGAGCUCACUUAAGAUCUGACACUUAGUUAAAAUACAUCUUCAUACCUAAUCUUCACGAUUACAAGUGUAUCCACUCUUAGAAAAUACUCUCCUUGUAGACAAAAACCUCUCACGAUUUAUUUCCUUCAAAUUUAAAAAUACUCUGGGAGCGGAUCGUUACAACUCUCCCCCACUUAAAAUAAAUUCGUCCUCGAAUUUUGUCUCGACCAACUACCAAAUAAACAGAAACUGAACAACUCUGGACUCGCUGCAUGUAUUUUGCUUCCACGCUCACUAACCGCUUAUUGGAUCUAAUCUUUAUGUUUCCUCCAUUUAACUUUGGUCCAGCACUAGUUGUCUGACUGGAACACUUUUAUAAUAAUGCAAUCGAAUAUGCUGACGACAAAUGCUUCUUCUAGGUUGCAUCAUGGAUCCCAAAAUACAGGGCUGACACAUAUUCUCUGGGCGGAUAUUAGUCGUUUGUCAAUCAACUUGAUCACCUGAUUUAUCACUCUAUGCACUCCAAUUAUCUGAAUCACCCUUGAUUCACAACAUUUUCAUCGCUGACUGCAAUCCUUUUGUUCCACAAUCGUCGAGAAGAAUUCGCUAUGGCACAUUCAUAAAACAACUAAAUCCAAUCAUAGAUGUAUCCAUCCAAAACACUCAUAGCUGGAUUGUACUAAUAUUAACCAACCCAUUUGCACUUUUCGUGGACCACGAAACUUUUUUUGUAGUAUGCCGUCCACCAUACGUCACAUCUUUUACCGUCAAACCCUUGAGUGGUUGAACCAACUUGCAGAUCUCUUACUAUUGGUGAUUCUUGCCCACUAAUCCAACAAGGUUUAUGAUCUUGUUGGAUUCUUUGUCCUCGACCAAUUGCAGUGGUUGUACCCUUUCCUUGACUCGACCAACACUUUCAUCGGGCAUUGCGCUCAUGAACCUAUAUCAUUUUUUUUCUGCUAGCUCUACUUGCUUAACUUCUUUGAGACAUUGCUUCCAUAGACAUUCUACCAUUACCACUCUUUACUCAACUUAUGCAUCCGAGAUGGUCCUAAGAAUAAAUCGUACUUAUUCUUGAUCAUCUGAUAGGUUCUUUCCGGGAAUACUAUUGAAAUUUUGAAUUGCUUCUUCAUUUUUCUGAGCUACCAUCUUUCCUUCUUUCUGAUACGCUACCCUAAUAUCUGUUCAAUCAAGUUAACUUGACAUUGAUCCAACACGUCCAUUCCAAGAGCUUCUUUGAACCAUUUAUCUAGUAGCACGAUCAAACCAUUAAAUUUAUUUGCACGAUCAAACCAUUAAAGUUAUUUGCACUCUCCACCAUCAUUGGAACAUCUUGAUAAAUAACAUGCGGCUUGAAAAUCUCCAUGUAUGCUGUCCGACCAAAUUUGAUCUCUUCCCUGAACCCAUUUUUCUGCGACCGACAACUUCCUGGCACACAAGGAGUGUGGCUUCUAUAGUCAAAAAAAGUUUGGCUUUCACCACCACACUACUAAGAAUUGGAUCGACUAAGUCCUUGCGUCCAGCUUGUGUAUUCAAACAAAAACCUGAUUACCAUCGGAUCCAUUUGCUUAUUAUCCAUCGAUUCUUCUUGAUCUUUCGCUCAGUUCAAGUCAACUCUCCGGUCCACCAUAAUUCUGACUGAUCCUUCCUUCGGAUCGAACAGACAGUACCGAAGUACAGUUCCAAUCGCACUCCAUCGUUGUUCCUCUGUCGUACUGCUGAUACCAGUCUAGUCUAAGACCAUAGGCCUUUAGAAAAGACUCAUGAUCCCUCAUCAGACCCGCGGUAUGCAUCAGCAUCAUCAAGUAUACUUUGCGACCCAACAGUACAUGGUUCCACCAUGCGUAGAUUAAGCUGGUACAUCCUUAUCCAUGGUUCGCGCUUGCUUCAGCUGCCAUGGCCAAAGACGGAUCGGUUCUUCCUAUUAACCCCUUGCUUCGUAUCUUCGAACCAGAACCCGACACAUCUCAGACUAUCAAUAAGACCACCGCUGAACUCUAGGGUAGUCGGAGAAAGUAUCCAAUCAAUCCUCCUUGCCGAUCUCAGUCCCUCUCCGUCCGUUUCUCCCUUUCUCUCUCGGUUUUCUCUGUUUCCGUCCAGUAUCGCCUCCCCCUUUCUGAUCCGCGGGAAUCCCACUAAAAAUGGGAGUUGGCGGUUUUUUUUUCUUUCCCAUAACCGCUCCCGCGCCCAAUCCCAAAUCAGUAACCGUCCUUGAUAGUUUUUAUUAACUCCCCGAACAGUUUCUUUCUCGAUCGGGCGGUCAGGUAACUGUUCCAUAACUACUUGGCAGUUCCAGCCCCAUAAACCGUCCCAGUCAGUUAAGUAGUUCAGUAACCACACGGAACCGUCCUGUAUCUGCUUCGGUAACUGCUUAGUAACCGCUAGGUAACCGUCAGAUAACUGUUCCCGCCGUUUUACUUAGCUUAUCAGUACACGUUCAGCUCGGUAUCCAUUCCCACCAUAACAUAUACCAGUAAGUCGUAUAUAAACUAACUUUUCUCGAAAGAAAAUUCCAACUGCUUUGUCUGAAUCCGACCAGCUCAGUCCGACAAGCUCAACUGCUAUGUCUGGACCCACAGUAUUGUCUUAAUCCGACCAGUACUAUCCAGACGACAUGUCAUACGUGUCAGGUUCGACUGAUCAGUCAAACUAACACUCGGCCUUGGACUGAUCCAGCUCAGACUGCAGGAUGGGGAUGCUACAAGCCCAGUCAAUAACCAUCAAUCCAUGCCGACUAUUGCUUCGUACAUUCUAUCAUCAUAUCUACUCAUUCCCUAACGUUGACAUAUCUUACUCCAUCACGCACGACUUCAAGCAUAUUACUUUUGUUGACUGAACCAACCUGAUGCUUUCCUUGCCUACCCAUUGAAAAAUCCGACAGUCGACACUUUGUAUCCUUCAUUUGACUUAAGUUAGUUUUCACUAACUUCCUGCAAACUCUUUAACACAAUUUUGCUUAGCCAUUUACUAAGCAGUCCAAUCAUAAAUACAUAACAAGAAAUAUCUGAGCAAAAUCAUACCACACAUCCUUCGCACGAGACAUAGACCAUCGGUUCCUUUCCACCCUUACCAACAAAUCCCAUUUUCGAAAAAAACAGCCAGCCAAGACAGAACUGGCUGGCCAACCCCGCUCUGAUACCAAUUGAAACACCCCGACCAGGAAAUCUUAAAAAAAACCUUGAAAAAUUCCAAGUAAAAAUUCAGGAAAUUUUUCAAGAAUAAACUCAAACAAAACUUCAACUUUAUUAAUAAAUCCGAGAAAAUAAUGUAGGGUAAUAGUAUAUAAUUCAUAAAACACCUAAUAGAAAUCCCAAGUUUGUAAGAAAAUAAAACCCGCCCGAUGGUCUUCAUUGUCCCGCGCUCCGGUCCAAUCAACUACUCGUCACCUGCAUCACAAAAGGAGGCAUGAGCAUACAAAAGUACUCAGUGAGGACGCUCAAUACCGCCCAAUAUAGCCCAAUAAGCAAUACUAAAUCAAACUAACACCCUAGCAUCCGGUUCUAUCAUUCCCUUACGUAACUAGUUAAAUCCUUUUCAUUUCUUAACCUUUCGACCCGAAUGCCGAUAAUCCUGCGGCCGAAGCCAAACCUGCGGCCGAAGCCAAACCUGCGCCGAAGCCAAACCUGCGGCCGAAGCCAAACAUGCGGCAGUAGCCAACCUGUGACCCGUCGGUCAAUUACCUUUCCUUAAUCAUUUUUCCUUAACCUUUUUCCUUAACCUUUUCCUUACAUUAACUCAAUUCAUUUAUUCUUUCCUUAAACGCAUUAUAACUUUCUGACGUAGGUUCUCAAGAUCAAACAUUCAUUUCUCACAUAAACAUCCUGACAUAACUCAAUAAUCCAUCCCGCAAAUUAAUAGCAUGCAUUUCUCAAGAACCCGAUGAACAAACUUUCCUUAAACAAUUCCUAUCAUAUAUUUCCCUAUGAACACGAAGAACGAACUUUCCAUAAACAAUUCAUAUCAUACAUUUCCCUAUGAACACGAUGAACGAACUUUCCAUAAACAAUUCUAUCCAAGCAUAAACACAAUCAUAUUGAAUCAAAACAGGACAAAUAGUUCUUAUUGGACUAUCACGAAUCACGUCCUCACCUUAGCUGAAUCUCUAGGACUCGAAGACUCUGAACUUCCUAGCGUUUCUGACGAAGAACUCCUUAGCUCCUCCUCGUUUGAUCCCUCUUCUCAAACUUCUCUCUCUACCAACUCGUUCUUGCUCUGACUUCUCUUUAAAUAUGUUUUUCUUGGUUGUGUCUUAGAAAUGAGAGUUCAAGGAGUCCUUUUAUAGGAUUUCCCAAGCUUUCUCACCAACUCAGGCACUUAAUGCCAGUUUCCUUAUUUGGCUUGGUCAAAGAUCACCAUCAAUGGCCUGACUUGAUAUCUUUGAUUCUUUCCUUAGCUGACUCCCGCAGAUCCAACCUUCCUUUUGUAUUAUCCCGCAAUGAUGGCUAGUCUAACUUUCCUUACUUGGAACCCGCAUUGCCCAACAGCCGAACAUUCCUUAAUUGGUCUUGAUCUCGCUUCAUGUAUGUUCUGAUCGUUCCAUGAUCAGUUUAUC